UACGAGAGGUCCAAGCGUUAGUCGGAAUCACUGGGCUUAAAGGGUGCGUAGGCGGGCCUGUAAGUGCUUUGUGAAAUCCCCAUGGCUCAACCAUGGAAUUGCAGGGCAUACUGCGGGCCUCGAGGAAGCUAGAGGCCGGUGGAACGAUAGGUGGAGCGGUGGAAUGCGUAGAUAUCUAUCGGAACGCCAAAGGUGAAGACAGCCGGCUGGGGCUUUCCUGACGCUGAGGCACGAAAGCGUGGGGAUCAAACAGG
rnacentral:rRNA from 1 species